AUGGGGGAUGUCCGCGUCUCGUCGCAAGGCUCAUUUGUAGUUUUUGGUUUAAGGGCGGAUUUAUCUGAUCAAGGGCCGGGGCACAAGGGUCCUGGUACUAUCCAGGUGCGAAGAACCCCGGAGGUGACUGCAAUGAGCAGAAAUCUAACUAACCGGCCUAAACGACGAGCAAACACUCGAACGGCAACCAAUGUCGAGCAUACGACGAUGCCGCCCGUUUUCAUUUCGUGGAAGUCCCCGACAGAGGAAAGGGCUGUAGGUGAUGGCGCGUUCUGCUUCUUAUCUAGAUAG